rnacentral:misc_RNA from 1 species
GUUUGAUGAGAUGCCUGAAAGAAACCUUGUCUCUUGGUCAGCUAUGAUCUCUGGUUAUGACCAAGUUGGAGAGCCUUUGUUGGCACUCAGUCUAUUUUCUCAAAUGCAGCUUGUGCCCAAUGAAUUCGUAUUUGGCAGCGUUAUCAGCGCCUGCGCCAGUCUUUCCGCGUUGGUUCAAGGCCAACAAAUUCAUGCUCAAUCGCUGAAGUUUGGCUGUGCAUCCAUUUCUUUUGUUUACAAUGCACUUAUCUCAAUGUACAUGAAAUGUGGUCGGUGUCGUGAUGCCUUAAGGGUCCAUGCCGGUGCAUCUGAACCAAAUGCUGUCUCUUAUAAUGCUUUGAUUGCUGGAUUUGUGGAUAACCAACAGCCUGAAAAAGGAGUUGAAGUUUUCAAACUCAUGAACCAAAAAGGUUUUGUGCCAGAUAGAUUUACCUUUGCUGGGCUGUUGGGAAUCUGCGACAGUUCAGAUGAUUUUUGGAGAGGAUCGCAAUUGCAUUGCCAAAUGAUUAAGCUUGCACUUCACUCCUCAGCUUUUAUUGGCAAUGUGAUUAUAACCAUGUAUUCAAUUUUCAAUUUGAUAGGAGAAGCAGAGAAGUCCUUUAGACUAAUUAAAGAGAAAGAUCUGAUUUCAUGGAACACCUUAAUAACUGCUUGUUCUCAUUGUAAAGAUCAUGAAAGGGCUUUAAGGGUUUUCAAAGAGAUGUCCAGUGAAUGUUGUGUGAGGUCUGAUGACUUUACUUUUGCCAGUGUCCUUGCUGCCUGUGCUGGGCUUGCGUCAAUACGCCAUGGGCAGCAGAUUCAUGCUCAUUUAAUCAGGACAAGACAGUAUCAAGAUGUUGGAGUUGGUAAUGCCCUUGUCAACAUGUAUGCCAAAUGUGGUUCCAUUAGAAAUGCUUAUGAGAUAUUCAGUAGGAUGCUCCAUCACAAUCUUAUCUCAUGGAACACCAUAAUUGCUGGAUUUGGAAAUCAUGGGCUUGGAGCAAUGGCCCUUGAACAUUUUGAGAUGAUGAAGGCUGAGGGCAUAAAGCCAGAUCCUGUUACCUUUGUUGGACUUUUGGUAGCUUGCAAUCAUGCAGGGCUGGUGGAAGAGGGCCAGAUUUACUUUAAUUCUAUGGAAGAGACCUAUGGAAUUUCCCCUGAUAUGGAGCAUUUUUGUUGUCUUAUUGAUUUGUUAGGACGGGCUGGGAAACUACAAGAGGCACAAGAGUACAUAAAAAAACUUCCUUUUGGGCAUGAUCCGAUUGUUUUAGGGAGUUUGCUGUCUGCGUGUCGGCUGCAUGGAGAUGUUGUCAUUGGGGAGCACUUAGCUACCCAACUUCUGAGACUUCAGCCUGUUAGUUCUUCGCCCUACGUUUUAUUGUCAAACUUGUAUGCUUCAGAUGAUAAGUGGGGUGGUGUUGCGGAGGCAUGGAAGAUGUUGAAAGAUAGUGGAUUGAAGAAGGAGCCUGGCUAUAGUUUGAUUGAUGUAAUGGGAAUUUUUGAGAAGUUCACAAUCGGAGAUUUUUCACAUUCAAGGAUUGAAGAGAUAAAAUACAUACUCAAAACUCUAAAUUGGGCAGUGGAUGAAGUUUCUCUGAAUCAUCGAACCAAAUCCUUUGAAUAGGUGCAGAAGAGUCAUGGAUGAUGGAACCACGUUACUUUUUUUGUUCUGUCCACCUGCAUUCUUCCAUAACUUUUUUGUGCGUCAAUAUUUAAGUUUCUCAUGAGCUUGGAAUGAAAAUGGUGCUAUUUUUAUUUUUUUGUGCACAUCAUCUGACAGAUUAAAAAACUAUUUAUAUAUUCUAACACAUCUUAAUUUUUACAAUUUAUGUAGAUCAGCUUGGACUUUAUUGCGUGCACAUGGGGUGUCCAUGAAUGAACAUGAUUCUUCUCCUAGUUGCAGAUACAAAGAGGGGGCUCUCAUAUUGUUUAUCCAUCCAUUUUCCUCUGUCCCCAAAAGAUCUGGGAAAGAGGAAUCAGAUGGUUGAUGUGCUAGCAAUGAUGGUUCUUUGGUUCUAAAACCAGUGGAGUUGAGCAAAUGAUGCCCGCUGAAUAUAUGAGCAUCAAUGGGCCGGAUGAUUGGUUAAGUUGUCCAUUUCUUUAAGUUACUGAGUUUUGCUUUCACUUUAUGCAGCUCAAAAUAAACACGGACUAGAUUAGCGGAAAUUCAUCUGAAGUUUCUACUUAUAGUUCUUUAUCUCGUCGCAAUGUUAUCAUAUUCCGAAAUCAUGAAAUUUGUUCUUUAUAUUUGCAUGAUAGUCCCAUUUGCCAGUUUUACUUGCCCUGUUCACUUUUAUCUGAUUCUUCUGCAGGGAUGGACUCCAUAUAUGAUAAGAGGAAAGCAAAAUAGUGGUGAAGGAGAGAGAUUAAGGGAGUUUUUUUCAGAGGUAGAUUGUGAACCAAAUUUACACUGGAAGUCUCUGCCAGCAGAUUUUGCUGGAGUUUCACCCCCUAAUUCCAGAACCAAAAUAGGUGAAUUGAACCUGAUUAACCUUCACUGUGGUGGAAUGUUGUCAAUGACCACAGCACUUCUUUUUUUAUUUUUCUUUUUUAAAAUUUGAUUUAUGAUGCUUUUAAGGUGUCGCAUGUAAGAAAUUUUAAUAUUUUUAUUUUUAAUUUUAGGAAGUGGCUUUAUGGGCAUUUUUGUCUUGACAUGUAAUAGAUUUAACUGAUGAAAACUGAUUUAUAUAUACAGU